AACCGCGUAGCUCAGUUGGAAGAGCAUUGGGCUAGUAUUCCAAAGGUCGUAGGUUCGAAUCCGACCGUGGCCG
rnacentral:tRNA from 1 species